UACUACAUCAGCCCCUCUCCUUUCACCUCAGAGCUUCAUCCAGGAGACACUCAUAUCUCUCCUCCACUGAGGAAACAUCAACAUCAUCAUCAUCAUCAUCAUGUCAGUUUUUCAUCGAUUUGAGUCAGUCAUCAUGAUCAGAGGUUUCCUGACGUUCACCCUCUCAUUGUUCUGGCUCACAGGAAGUUCUCUGGGCAGUAAAGUCUUCCAGGUUCCCUCAGCACUAUUGGAAAGUCCCAAUGUUACAGUGAUAAUCAAAUGCAGCCAUACUAUCAGUUCAUACAAUAAUAUAUUGUGGUACCAGCAGUCAAUAGCUGAUUCUAAUCUGAAACUGAUUGGAUUUGUAUUUUAUAAGAAUCCAACAAUUGAAGAUCAAUUCAAACAGCACUUUGAAAUCCGUGGAGAUGGAGAGAUAGAAGCCUCACUUCAGCUUCUGUCAGACCCUGAAAACAGUGCAGUGUAUUACUGUGCAGCCAGCCAACACAGUGAUAACCAUCAACAUGAUCAAGCUUCUCAUACAUGUUGCAACUCUACCACUGUGGGUGACAGGGCUGUCACAAACAGACCAAGUCCAGCAGACUCCUACUGCAAUACUAAAAGGACCUGACGAUAACGUUCAACUGAACUGCAGCCAUACUGUUCCAAACUACAACAUGAUACUGUGGUACCAGCAGUCAGAACAAGACACUGCUCUGAAACUCAUUGGGUAUGUGCUACUCACCAAUCCUGCCGUGGAAGAUUCCUUUAAAGGGCGUUUUACUGUGAGUGGAGAUGCUGCAACUGGGAAAAUGGCGUAUCUACAUAUUCCUAAACUGAGAGGAACUGAAGACAGUGCAGUGUAUUUCUGUGCUGCUAGUAAAGCACAGUGUUUCACUAUACCCUCUCUCCUCUACAAAAACCCUCUCUGAUCCUCUCAUAUAAUGCUGACUACAGCUCUAUACACCUGCACCUGUCUUCAACCACUUCAUCAACACUUUGCUCUGAACCACUAGAUAUCAACCAGAUGGUAAUGAUGCUGUUAUAAGUGUCUGGUUUAGAUGGUUUAGCUGCAGCACUUCCUCACUUCUCCACCAAGGAGGCAGAGGUUCUCCACACUGACCUGUAAAAGAGGCUGCAUAGGGUCCCUGGUCCAACGCAGGGUGCUAAUUAUGGAAUAGGAUGAAACAAGAUAAUUGUUAUGUGGUAUUGUGAUGUCAUUAUGGGGUAUUGUGAUGUCAUUAUGGGGUAUUGUGAUGUCAUUAUGGGGUAUUGUGAUGUCAUUAUGGGGUAUUGUGAGGUNNNNNNNNNNGGUUAUAAUGUCAUAUCCUGUUUCUCUAG
rnacentral:lncRNA from 13 species